AUACUUACCUGGCAGGGGAGAUACCAUGAUCACGAAGGUGGUUUUCCUAGAGCGAGGCUUAUCCACUGCUCUCCAGAUGUGCUGAUUCCUGUGAUUUCCCCAAGUAUGGGAAACUCCACUGCAUAAUUUGUAGUAGUGGGGGACUGCAUUCACCCUUUCCCCAA